AUUGAACGCUGGCGGCAGGCCUAACACAUGCAAGUCGAACGGUAGCACAGAGAGCUUGCUCUCGGGUGACGAGUGGCGGACGGGUGAGUAACGUCUGGGAAACUGCCCGAUGGAGGGGGGUAACUACUGGAAACGGUAGCUAAUACCGCAUAACGUCGCAAGACCAAAGUGGGGGACCUUCGGGCCUCACACCAUCGGAUGUGCCCAGAUGGGAUUAGCUAGUAGGUGGGGUAAUGGCUCACCUAGGCGACGAUCCCUAGCUGGUCUGAGAGGAUGACCAGCCACACUGGAGCUGAGACACGGUCCAGACUCCUACGGGAGGCAGCAGUGGGGAAUAUUGCACAAUGGGCGCAAGCCUGAUGCAGCCAUGCCGCGUGUAUGAAGAAGGCCUUCGGGUUGUAAAGUACUUUCAGCGGGGAGGAAGGCGGUGGAGUUAAUAACUUCACCGAUUGACGUUACCCGCAGAAGAAGCACCGGCUAACUCCGUGCCAGCAGCCGCCGUAA
rnacentral:rRNA from 1 species